GUGUGUGUCCAAGGGAAAAGACCAAUAUGUCUAGAUCUGUCCUUUGAGGCUCACACAUACACACAUUUUUCCCGUCACUCCCUGCUUCACUAACACGAGAGGGUGUGGUGAUCUGUAGAAAAAUCAACUUCCUGUCUGCAAUCCCCGCAUGGCAUCGUAACGGAUGGGUUUACAUCACCAAACCCAAUCUCACUCUCUGAGAACAUCAGGAAAUGCUUCUCUCCAACACAACAUCAGAGAACGAGCUUAUUUUUUUGAAGGAAAAGUGUGAUAAGCCCUAAACACACUCUCUGUCUCUCGCUCUCUGACACUUACUGCUUCUGAGGAAUAGAAGGGACAGACUUUAUCACCAACAGAUUAAAAAUAGAGAAGGGAGACUGAGGAAAGGCAUCCAGCCUCGAUCAUCGAGCAUUGGUCAAACAUGUGAUCAUCAGAAGCGAGGGGACCAUACUGGAAUCUAACAAUCGUGAUCCUGAUGCUGCUGAGCCCACAUGUGUUAGAAUCCAUGACUUCUGGAGAGAUAGAUGGCUUUGUGUGGCUGAUGUCCUCAGAGACUCUGGUAGAGCAGCUUGACUUGUGGGGCAAUACUAGUUGACCAACCAAAACCAGCAUGCACAUGCCCAAAUCAUGACUCAGGAAUAAUGGUAACCAGCAUUAAAAAUGGUCAUUCAAAUGAUCAUUAGCUGAAUCUAGUCAUUUGUAGGAACAUGCUUUUCACUUUAUAAUUGU
ensembl:lncRNA